rnacentral:rRNA from 1 species
UACGAAGGGGGCUAGCGUUGCUCGGAAUCACUGGGCGUAAAGGGCGCGUAGGCGGCGUUUUAAGUCGGGGGUGAAAGCCUGUGGCUCAACCACAGAAUGGCCUCGAUACUGGGACGCUUGAGUAUGGUAGAGGUUGGUGGAACUGCGAGUGUAGAGGUGAAAUUCGUAGAUAUUCGCAAGAACACCAGUGGCGAAGGCGGCUCACUGGCCCGAUACUGACGCUGAGGCACGAAAGCGUGGGGAGCAAACAGG